rnacentral:rRNA from 1 species
UACGUAGGAGGCGAGCGUUGUCCGGAAUCACUGGGCGUAAAGCGCGUGUAGGCGGGAAGCUCAGUCUGUGGUGAAAGCGCCUGGCUUAACCGGGCGAGGUCCAUGGAAACUAGCUACCUGGAGGCCGGUAGAGGGGGGGUGGAAUUCCGGGUGUAGUGGUGAAAUGCGUAGAGAUCCGGAGGAACACCAGUGGCGAAGGCGGCCCCCUGGGCCGCGCCUGACGCUGAGACGCGAAAGCGCGGGGAGCGAACGGG